GACGAACCGUGCAAACGUUGUUCGGAAUCACUGGGCUUAAAGGGCGCGUAGGCGGCAGACCAAGUCCGGGGUGAAAUCUUUCGGCUUAACCGGAAAAGGGCCUUGGAUACUGGUUUGCUAGAGGGAGGUAGGGGUCUGUGGAACUUCUGGUGGAGCGGUGAAAUGCGCAGAUAUCAGGAGGAACACCCGUAGCGAAGGCGGCACUCUGGGCCGAUUCUGACACUGAGGAGCGAAAGCGUGGGGAGCGAACAGG
rnacentral:rRNA from 1 species